rnacentral:lncRNA from 1 species
GCUGAAGGCGGCUGGAGCCCGAAUCGCCGCCGGCGUCGGCGCAGUCAAAGAAGAUGGCCACAGAGACAGCAGCGUGGUCAGAGUGGUAGGAGCCAGCCAUCGGCGAGAGCUGCUCCGUGCCUGGCUGCUGGGUGCUAGAGCCUGUGGCCCACUGGCUUGCCUCACUGUGAUUGGUGGUGGUGGUGACAGAGACUGCAGCACGACCAGAGUGGCUUUUCUGGCUUUGCCCGCCCAGCUGCUCCGUGCCAGGAGGAGAAGGAGACACCUAGAGCCUGUGACACCAUGACUUGCCUCGCUGCGGGUGGGUGGCAGCAAUGGAGACUGCAGUGCGCCAGAGCGGUAGGAGAGCGGCCGCGCUAGGAGGGCAGGCGGCUGCAGCCAGGGUUGGGGUCAGGCUUACAGCGAUGGACGGGCUGCAGCAGUGGCCAGGUUGUAGGAGCCUUGUAGGGAGGGCUGGUGCAUUGGCAAUGGGCCUGGUUUUGCCCUGCCUUGCCCUGUACCUGCCCUACUGUUACCUGGACUGUCUCGGCCCUGUCCAGCUCUGGUCCCAUCCUGACCCUGUCUUGGCCCUGUGCUACCCUGUCCCUGCCCUGGUCUUGCCCUGGCACUGGCCCUGCCCUGAACCUGCACUGGCCUGACCUUGGCUCUGGCCCUGGCUCUGG